UACGGAGGGUGCAAGCGUUAUCCGGAUUCACUGGGUUUAAAGGGUCCGUAGGCGGUUUUGUAAGUCAGUGGUGAAAGCCCAUCGCUCAACGGUGGAACGGCCAUUGAUACUGCAAAACUUGAAUUAUUGGGAAGUAACUAGAAUAUGUAGUGUAGCGGUGAAAUGCUUAGAUAUUACAUGGAAUACCAAUUGCGAAGGCAGGUUACUAUCAAUAUAUUGACGCUGAUGGACGAAAGCGUGGGGAGCGAACAGG
rnacentral:rRNA from 1 species